UACGUAGGGGGCAAGCGUUGUCCGGAAUCAUUGGGCGUAAAGGGCGCGUAGGCGGCCACCGCAAGUCGACUGUGAAAUCUCCGGGCUUAACCCGGAAAGGUCAGCCGAUACUGCGGGGCUAGAGUGCAGAAGGGGCAACUGGAAUUCUCGGUGUAGCGGUGAAAUGCGUAGAUAUCGAGAGGAACACCUGCGGCGAAGGCGGGUUGCUGGGCUGACGCUGACGCUGAGGCGCGAAAGCUAGGGGAGCGAACGGG
rnacentral:rRNA from 1 species